rfam:Apaloderma vittatum contig87288, whole genome shotgun sequence.
GGUCGGUUAGCUCAGUGGUUUGAGCGUGGUGCUGGCAACAAGGACUAACACUGAGGUCGUGGGUUCGAUUCCCGCUUGGUCCC